rnacentral:rRNA from 1 species
AUGAUCAGUGUGCGAGGGACCGGUUUACGCUUCAAGAUCACAUCCGUCUACGGCCCCACAGACCCCUCCUGUAAAGACGCUUUCUUCGCCGAGCUACUCAGCCAGAAGCCUACGACUGGGGUGGCAUGGCUCGCCACCGGUGAUUUCAACCAAAUCUACCGGGCCAGAGACAAAAACAAAAGAAAUGUCAACCGAAGCAGGAUCAACCGUUUUAGAGCAACGCUACAAAGCUGUGAGCUCAAAGAAAUACACCUCCAAAAUCGGCGUUUCACUUGGAGCAAUGAGAGGGAAAACCCAACUUUGUGCAAGUUAGACUCGUUCUUUUGCAACGCCGAGUGG